rnacentral:lncRNA from 1 species
AGACAUAAUAUAGACGAGGCAUAUAGCUGGAGACUUUCUGAGGAAAGGUUUUUGUGCUACGACUCCUCUUGAUGAAGGCUCGUAACCAUGAUAAACCCCUAUUCCUACUGAGGAAGGAAAGCAUUUCAGAACAAAUGUAAAAAUUUUCUUCCUGGGUAAACCCAACCAGUUUUGUAAUUUAGUUCUGUUCUGAGCCAAUGUCUGGAAUUUCAGGAGGAAGGUGAAAAAAAUCUCCAUGGUGUUCAGUAAAUUGGUUUUAAAAUUUGCCUGUUGGGGAAAAAAGGCAUUUCCUUCAUAUGCCAGUGGAACAUGGCAUAUGAAGGAGCAAGAUAGUUUCAACUGUUUCUUGAUAGGAUGUCAGAACUGCAUAUUAAAAAAAAAAAAUUCUCCACAGAGGAAAUAUUUAUCUGUCAUGCUGUUGUUCAUCAGAUUAUAUUAUUGUAUAUAACAUCUAGUUUCUUUCUCUAAUCACUGGACAUGUGCAGACUCCAUGGCUAUUCAAGAUGUUGUGAGCUGACCAGAACAUUAGGACCUUGAGGCUUUAGUUUUUCAAUCUGCACUGGGCCAUAGACCUUUCUCCUGACUGAAGGUUAGAGCCUGGAAUAAGGCUUUGCAAAUAAAACACACUAAGAAGUCUUAGAGCAUUAAGCUGAUUAAAUGUCCAGCCUGCUCCAUGGUAAUAGUUUGAUGUUUUGAGAGCUAUAAGUCAUCCCACAGCCACACAACUGAAUGACCCUGGGUUCUUUCCAGAAUGAUGAUGUUAUAUUAGCUAAUAGAAACUCAUCAGAACACUACCAUUUAUUGAUCAGUUACCAACUACCAGAUAUUCAAAUAGGCUCAAUUUCCUUACAUUAUCUACAAAUGAGAAAACUGAUUUUUAAGGAAUUUUCCCAAAGUCAUACAGUAGAAUCAGGAUUGAAUCUGGAUCUAAGUUGUGCAAAAUCUCAUGAUGUUUCACUAUAUCACAUAGCCUUCCAAACUGAGAGGAAGGAUGAUAGUUAAUUUCAGCUAUUCCAAAACACCCCAAGCUACGGUGAUUAGUGUUUACUUCUAUUUUUUGUCAUCAUCCAGGUUUACAUACCAGGAUCUGUAUGGCAGCUCUAUGCUACUGCAGACUUAGGCUCUUUCUGUCAAGUUGUUCUGCCAUUACAGGGGUAUGUUGUCUUUGUCCAUAUGGUUCAAGAGGACUCAGGACCAUGUCUGCCCUUAGCCCAUAGGGGAAAGUGGUCAGGGAGAUGAAGGAGGGGAGGGAGGGCUUGCUGCUUCCUUUUGAGGGUACAAUCACUUAUAUGCUGUUGAGUUGAACUUACCCAUAUGAUCAGGCCUAGUUGCCAAGGAAGAUGGAAAUGAAGUUUUGUUAUAAGUAGCCAUGAGAUUGAUAAAUCUAAGAGGUUCUUUUAUGAAAAAAGGGAAGAAAGGUUUUUGUAAGUAAAUUAGGGACUGUCAGAGAGACUUUUCAUAUAUUAGAAUCUACUCAUUUUAUUGAGGAUUCUAAGUUCCAGAGAGACUAUGUAUAUUAGCUAAGAUUGCGCUCAAGUUGGUGGCACAGAAAAUCUGAAACCAGUUGGCCUGACCCCCAGGCCUGUGCUUUUCCUACCUUGUCAAAUUGGCUCAACAGCAUCGCUGCUACUGGUGGGGAAAAAAAACAAAAAACAAAUUGUACCACCGGUGUACUAAUUAUGUUUAUUAACAUAUAGAACAUUCCCGAAGAAUCUCAAAGAUGUUUUAUCUUUAUCCAUGAGUUAAUUUGAAAAUCUAUAAACAUUUCUAUAUAUUUGUAUUUCCCUGAAUAAUGAUUUUUUGAAAAAGGGUUUUAAAAAGCAUUUUUGCACAGCUGUAAAAAUGUGGUAUGAAGGAAUUCGGUUCCAUUUUCUAAUGAACAGAGAGAACACGUUCUAGAAUUUAUUACACUGUGCAUUUCACUUGUCUUGCCUGACAGAUCAUUGGAAUUUAAUUUUAAUUAAAAAAUAUGGUACAUCAUAGCCUAAUAAUCUAUAGCUUCACACUGCCAAGCAAGUUUUUUGAAAGUGGUAGAAAAUUGAAAUCAUUCUUGGGUAUUGGAAAUACUUAUGUGCUCAUCCCAUGGGCCAGUUCACAGUUUAAUUUUGAUUUUUGAAAGACCCAUGCUUGGUGAACAUAAUGGUUAAGAAAAAAAAUUGGAUUUAUUUUGACACCUUAGCAGCUUAGAGCAGAGUUGCCCUCUAAAAGGAGCAGUUUGAUAGACAAUCAAUUAUAUAGACAUAGUGAGCAAAAACAAAAUGCAAAGUGGACAGAGGACUAACUGUUCCAGCGAUUACUAUCAACUCUUCACUAUCAUAAGCUUCUAUUCACUGAAGCAUUGCUCAUUUGAUGUUGCCUGAAUAACUUGUGUAAAUGUUCAUAAUAUCAGUAACAAUAUUUUCUGUGUCUAUUGUGCUUUAUGCCUUAUAAAGGAUUUUCCUUUACGAGAUGUAAUUUCAUCUGAAACACAAUUCAGUUAGAUGGAGGGGAGGAACAACAAUUUUCAUUUUUAUGGUAAGGAAAUUGGUCAUAAGGGAAGUUAUUAUGAGACAUGUUGAUUGUCACAAAAGUAGCAAAAACCCCCUCACAUUGACUAUGGGUUUAAUGCUUGCCUUUGGGGCAGGGUGUUUUGUGUGCACAAUUGUGCAUUGGGAUGGAGGGGCAGGAAACAAAGAUGGAGUCAUGACAGGACUCUGUCUAUGGAAAUGGAAACAAUAUUCAAUCUAGGAUUUGAAUGCUUUACAUAGCUAGACUUUGAUUCUGUAUGUGAGGUGAGUUCUAAUUUUUUUUUUUUUUUUUUGAUUUUUAGGGCUGCACAUGCAGCAUAUGGAAGUUCCCAGUCUAGGGGUUGAAUUGGAGCUGCAGCUUCAGGCCUACACACAACGACAGCCACAGCAACAACCAGACCUCAGCUGCAUCUGUAACCUGUGCCACAGCUUGCGGCAACGCUGGAUCCUUAACCCACUGAGCAAGGCCAGGGAUUAGACCUGCAUCCUCAGAGACAAUGCCGGGUCUUUAACCUGCUGAGUCACAAUGGGAACUCUAGCUCUAUUUUUUUUUUUUUUUAAUAUGAGAAUUUUGAGAACUAUAACCCCGGGAGGCUGGAGUAUCCAUGCUAAGUUUUACUUUCUAUCCUUUCUUUUACCAUGUCCAGAGCCCCUGCCAUCUGCUGUUUCUUGUAAUAUUUGUCUUUUCACUUUUUAUCAUUGCUCCAUUUUCUGAUUGGUUUAAGUAUCAUACUUGGUCAUAUGUCUCUUUUUUGAAAACCUACUCAUGAUAAGGAGAUAUAGAAGGAAAUAUAUAUUAGACACAGGCAUAGACACAAACAUUUGGAUGCUUGGUUGGUUAUUACUCUUUGCUGGAAAGCCACUGUCUGUUUGAUAAUGUGGCCAAUAUAAGAUCUUCCCCCUUGUGAAAUGGUUAUAAAAAGAAGAUAUUUGCUUUUUUCCUUUGGGUUCAUUUAUUUUGACCUCUUAAGGCAUCAAACUUAGCUGUAUCAAUGGAACUGACCAAAUUCUAUUUCAAACCCUUUGAGGAUUAUUUUGCUAAUACUUUGGCUUCUCGAUAAGUGGUACUGACACCACUCUACUUCGUCUUGGACUUUUUUUGCAAGGCGAAUUGUUACAUGGUCUUGGCUUUGCUCUAGAUCUUCUUGGUUCUCUUUGGCAUGCUAUCUCAGAAUGCUCUAGGUUUAGUUGCUACCAUACUGUAAGUCUCACGAAGUAAGAACUGUUGAUUAAGUUUUAGUUGUAGACAUGGACAAAAUAACUAACCUCCUGUGCUCCCUAUCCACCAUUUUCUCCAUGCUCACAUCUUUUCAAACAAGAAUUAGAGGGCAAUCAUUUGUCAUCUCUGUCAGCAAGGUACUUCUAUGGUACAGAGUACUAUAAUACAAUAGGUCUUACUCUAGCUUUGAGGUUGUUAGAUGGCUGGAAUUCAGCCUUCAUGGAGGGUCUUUAGCCUCUUCUCCAGCCAAGACAUCCAAUGCCUGAAAAUACCAUGAUUUGCUGCUGACUCUAGCAUAAUCCUCCUGGUCCUGCUCUCUGCUUUUUGAUAGGAGGUGCUUAAAAACCUGAGCUUGGCUCAUAAAGGGACUCAGGUCACAGAUGAGUUUUCGGAAGUGGUACUUUUGGUAUGACUUUCAUGUUGGAAACAUCAAAAGCCAUUGUAUAAGCAUUGAAUAGAGAUCUCAGGGUUGUUCGAAAUUUUUGUCAUCUUCUUCAAACCACCAUGGCUGACCCCAGACUAGGAAUGAGAGUAGUAUUUUAUCCUUACGUCAUUUUUUGUAUGUCUAAGUAACUAUACCUGGAAUUUUAAAAUACAUUUUUUUAAAGGAUAUAUUUUACUGGCUUUGUUCUGAAUUUGCCAGAGAAAGGGCAGCUCUGUUACUUUAAUGAAUGUAAUUUGUUUAUAAUUUGCCCAAUGAGACAAAGAGAUUCUUCUUGAAUGUUUCUUUUUUUACGGUCAGCUGUUGGAAGAUUUUUUUUUUCAUAUAUUGUGAAUAAAAAGAUAUCAAGGAAUGUGGAAGCGUUAAAACCUAAGAUUUCAUCAUCAAAGGUUAAUUUGUGUAAAAGUGUGUCCUGAGCAAGUAGUACACAUUAAGGAUUACUUGUAGUCUCUUCUUUACAAACAAAUCAAAAAACAAAGUAUCAGCAAGAUUUUUAUGUUCUGUUAUUAAAACAAAAGAAAUCAUGAAAUAACUUGUGCUAUCUCCAUAUUGCACCAUAAAAUCAUAAAUACAGAGCUUUGCAAUAAAAGGUGACAUCACUCUACCUUUUAUUGUUUUAGGAAAUUUAUAGGCAUAGAGUGGAAAAUAUAGAAUUACUGCCCAUUUCUUUAAAUUUAUUUCAAUGCUUUUUUUUUUCUCUGCAUUUCUCAGGACUUGUCCUGUUGGAUCAGCUGGUCCAAAAGUGUGUGUUAUAUAUCUUUCCAGACACUUUGCAAACUGUAUCUAAUAGUAGUACAUUAAUUACAUCUAGUGAUUCUAAUUGAGCUUGAGGAAAAGUCAAGAUUGGGAAUCAGGGUGGUUACCUUCAAGUCUGCUUUGGGGGAGAUCAUUUAAUUUAUGUCCAUUUUUGUUUCUCCACUUAUAAAAUAAAUGGGUUGGUUGUAAAUACAGUAAGCCAAAAUCUUUUCCUUAAAGUGUGCCUGGGGAAAGGAGCUGCAUUUCAGAUGUGAUGCAUGCCUUACCUCUUGCACUAAAAAGAAAGGGGCAGAAUGACUGUGUACAAAAGAAACCUUGGAUUUGGGGCCCUAGGACAAUGAUUCUGAGGCUUUUCUGUGGACCAAAUCUAUUUUAUGAAAAACUUAUUAAAAAUGACAUACUCCUGGGGCCCAUUAUAGAGAUUUUGAAUUGUGAGGUCUGGGGUGAGGUUUAGGAAUCUGCAUAUUGAGCAAAUGCUUAGCUGGGUCAGAUAUGGAUGAUCUCAGGACCACCCUUUGGGAGCCACUGCCUUUAAAUGCUCCAUGGCUCUGGAUGGAACAGAUAAACACCUUGAAGAUACCAGCUGAUAUGACACAACUGUGCCCACAAUUUUCCAGAAGCUCAGCAGAUUUUGAAAUUAGUUAGUAAUUGGUUGAAUUUCUGAUGGGUGUCCUUUUGGAUGAUGUUCAGUUCCAGGUGGAGAGUACAGCCUGAGGGGCUAUGUUGUAUCAUCUAGUUUUGGUUAACGGCAGGUGGUCUGGUGAUUCCUUCUAGGUGUCUGGCUCUGUCACUUCUUAGAAUGUGAUGUGAGGCAAGCUAGGGGGGUGGUAUAAAACAUUUUCACAUUGCCAUUAUAAUAAAUAUAAAAGAUAAUGCACACAAAGCAAGGAGCAGAGUGCCGGGAAGUAGUAACGCUAAAAAAAAGGGUUAACUGUUGUUGAAGGCAAUAGGUGAAGCUUAGUAAUCAAUUUUUAGUAAAAUUUACCCUUAAUUGCUCAGGAUAUUCUUCAGGCAUGUAUUAAUUAUUUGUGUGAUGUGAACAAAGCACUCUGAUGUGGUGGGAUUGGGUCACAGAAAAGAAGAGGUGAAUGUGAAUGUAUUUUGAAGGAAUGGAUAUACAGGUUACCUUUGGUAGAAAAAUUGGCUAAGAUGAGAACAUGGAAACUAUGGGGAAUGAAAGGAGGAAUAGCAUCCUUGAUUCUGGAAGUGUCUAGCCUUAAUUCCAAACUAGGGCUGAUGAGGAGUUCCCUGGUGGUACAGUGGGUUAAGGACCUGGCCUUGUUAUUGCAUGGCUCUGGUUCCAGUUGUGGCAUGGGUUUAAUCUCUGGCCUUGGGAACUUCUGCAUGCUGCAGGUGUGAUC